ACAGCCUGCCAGCCGCAGCCAGCAAGCCCACAGCCUUCCAGCCGCAGCCAGCAAGCCCACAGCCUUCCAGCAAGCCCACAGCCUGCCAGCCGGCACAGUAAUUAGGAGGAGGAGAGCCAACUUGGCCUAGGUAUCAGCGAGCUAUGUUGUGUUGCUAUAUUGUGAAUUGGAACCAGAGUGUUGGACAGACCCCCCUCCAGG